rnacentral:lncRNA from 1 species
GUCACACACUCAGUUACAAGCAGACAGUCACACACAGUCACAUGCAGACAGUCACACAUACACAUUUCCUCCGUGCGGCCAGUUUAUCAGCUGUUUGCUUGUGUGAGCUGUACUGGCCGCACGGUACCCUAACUACCAUGGGACACUUUGCGGCCACAGCUCACACAGCCCCCUCCAGCCAGGGCCGGUGCAAGGAUUUUUGCCGCCCUAGGCAAAAGUAAA